ACACACAACUUCUCCAAUCAUAAAAUACGCUCCUUCCAUAUUGAUUGUGCUUUGCAACUAGAUGCAUGUGCUAGGCUUCACUCUGCAAGGUGUUUAAAAAGAAAAACAGGUUUACCCAGGGAUUUUAUCAUGUAUGGAAAAAUGUAAUACUAAGUAGGCUGUCUGCCUAAUGUCUGGCAUAAUGUUUCUUCAUAAUGGUUAACCCUUUUGCAGGGAGUGGAAUAAGAGUGCCUCUCUCUCUAGAUGGGAACUUUGCUUCAGGGGACAUUACAAAUCUGUGGCCCCUGGAGAGACAAGCAAGAUGUCAGACAAGCAUGUCUGGUCAGUUUUGCACCAUGGUAUACAGUUUCUCCCACUAAAGGAUUCGUAUCUGCGGUAAAUGUUCAACGGCAAAACUGCUGGGACUACGGAAGUGGCAUUUAGCUGGAAGAAAUGAAAUGCUGAGUAUGCAAAUGGACCAUGGAUGCUGAUUUGUUUGAGCCUUGCAUGAAACAUGCCUAUAAGAAAUACUGUGCAGACUCGUGGAUGACCCAGAAUGUAAAAUUUUUUCAUUUGUGUAAGUUAAAAUGUUA